ACCAACUGAGCACAGGACGUGCUUAGGGUCACGGAUGACCGGCCAUGUGCAAGGAACGCAUCGACAGGAUGUCGGCAUGGUCUUGAAAACCCGCUUCGGCGGGUUUUU
rnacentral:sRNA from 2 species